rnacentral:rRNA from 1 species
CCUACGGGAGGCAGCAGUGGGGAAUAUUGCACAAUGGGGGAAACCCUGAUGCAGCGACGCCGCGUGAGUGAAGAAGUAUUUCGGUAUGUAAAGCUCUAUCAGCAGGGAAGAAAAUGACGGUACCUGACUAAGAAGCCCCGGCUAACUACGUGCCAGCAGCCGCGGUAAUACGUAGGGGGCAAGCGUUAUCCGGAUUUACUGGGUGUAAAGGGAGCGUAGACGGUAGCGCAAGUCUGAAGUGAAAGCCCGGGGCUCAACUGCGGGACUGCUUUGGAAACUGUUCAACUGGAGUGCUGGAGAGGUAAGCGGAAUUCCUGGUGUAGGAGUGAAAUCCGUAGAUAUCUGGAGGAACAUCAGUGGCGAAGGCGACUAUCUGGCACAUAACUGACGCUGAGGAGCGAAAGCGUGGGUAGCAAACAGGAUUAGAUACCCCAGUAGUC